ACUUUGACCCCUCAAGCUGAUUACUUCAGUGCUCAUCAUUGCAGACUAAACCCAGUUUUGGAAUUGGGCUUUAAUCAAUCAAUACUUGUGGAUACAAGGCCUGAUCUCAGAUCAGGACCACCAAAUACUGGGGACAGAUGAAGAUUUUGAAAUAUGAUUUUAAGUCCAGAGAAAUUGUCAAGGAGACUCAGCAACAGCCUAGUGAACAAAAGGAAGAACU